GAUGAACGCUGGCGGCGUGCUUAACACAUGCAAGUCGAACGAUGAAGCCCAGCUUGCUGGGUGGAUUAGUGGCGAACGGGUGAGUAACACGUGAGUAACCUGCCCUUGACUCUGGGAUAAGCCUGGGAAACUGGGUCUAAUACUGGAUAUGACUUCUCAUCGCAUGGUGGGGGGUGGAAAGAUUUAUUGGUCUUGGAUGGACUCGCGGCCUAUCAGCUUGUUGGUGAGGUAAUGGCUCACCAAGGCGACGACGGGUAGCCGGCCUGAGAGGGUGACCGGCCACACUGGGACUGAGACACGGCCCAGACUCCUACGGGAGGCAGCAGUGGGGAAUAUGGCACAAUGGGCGCAAGCCUGAUGCAGCGACGCCGCGUGAGGGAGGACGGCCUUCGGGUUGUAAACCUCUUUCAGUAGGGAAGAAGCGAGAGUGACGGCACCUGCAGAAGAAGCGCCGGCUAACUACGU
rnacentral:rRNA from 1 species